rnacentral:lncRNA from 1 species
AUGGCCAUGGGCAGCAGCGGUGGUGGUGGUAGAGGUGGAGAUGGAGUCCUGGAUAGGAGGACUGGGUGUUGUUCCUGGGCAGUGCAGGCCAGAGUGAUGAUUGUGACGUUUGGAAUGAUACAGCAUUGAUAGAAGCUUAUGAUAAAGCCAUGCUUCAUUUAAGCCACCAUUCACAAGAAUGACAUUUGUGAAACUUCAGAUAACCAAAUGUCACACCUAAAAGAAAACCCAAGAAGAAUAAGAGCCAAAAAUAGAAUAUGCAACUCUCUUGAAACACAGGAAAGCUGGUGGCGCAUGUUCUGCCAUUAGGUCAGAAGACAGCUGCCUUCACCCAGCUACAUCAUUGCUUCAGUUGAUUUUAACGGAAAAACCCAUGUUGCGGUGUACACUGGAUAUGGAAAUGGAGAAGAGCAAAAUCUGCCUGAUCUACUACUUUCCCCAACCUCUGAAGUAGCUAAUAAUAUAGAAUAGAACACUCGAGAGAAUGAAAGUCAAGUUCCAAUGGAUGAAAAUGAGAACUCCAGGUCUCCUGGAAAUAAACCAAAUAACACCAAAUCAAAAGCUACUCCAUGAAACUCUUUUCUCCUUCUGCCACCCCCAUGCCAGGGUCAGGACUGAGACCAGGAAAGCCAGGUCUAAAAUUCAAUGUUCCUCCACCAGCACCCCAUUUCCUGUCAUGCUGGCUGCCUCCAUUUCCCUCUGGACCAUCAGUAAUUCCUCCACUCCCACCUCUCAUAUGUCCAGAGUCUCUUAAUGAUGCUUUGCUUUGGGAAGUGUGAUCAUCUCUUGGUACCUAACUGGCUAUCAUACUGGCUAUUAUAUG